UGGACAGAACCAAUUAUAACCCACAAAGAAAGAGGUGUGCGGUUGUUACGGGAUCCAAUAAAGGAAUUGGAUUGGAGAUAUGUCGUCAGCUAGCUUCCAAUGGGAUAAUGGUUGUUCUAACAGCUAGAGACCAGAAAAGGGGUAUUGAAGCUGUUGAGUCUCUCAAAACAUCUGGAUUCCUUGAUAAUGUGGUUUUUCAUCAACUAGAUGUAAAGGAUCCUGCAAGUAUUGCUUCACUGGCAAGCUUUAUUGAAACCCAUUUCGGAAAACUUGAUAUCUUGGUGAACAAUGCAGGUGUGGGUGGAGCAACGUUUACAGAUCCUGAGG